GGAGUGGUGGCGCAGUUGGCUAGCGCGUAGGUCUCAUAGCUGGUCUGAGUGAUCCUGAGGUCGAGAGUUCGAGCCUCUCUCACCCCA
rnacentral:tRNA from 1 species